GAUUAUGCAGGGAAGAGAAGUUGCGUCUAUCACCUCUCAAAAACAUUGAAGGACUCUUUGGAUUUCGGAACUUACUACUGUGCUGUGGUUCUUUGUGGAGAAAUACUGUUAGGUGGUGGAAGUACACUGGAAAAAAAGCCAGACUUGCCUGUUCUUUUCCUUGGAGGACUGUUGCUUUGCUGUGUUACAGUGAUGGUCUGCCUUAUCAUCUACAUACUUUGGAGGAGAGUUUCUGAAAAAUCAUCAGGGAAAAAUGCCUCACUUGCUAAUGCUGCUAAUGGUGGUUCAACUCCUGUUCAUCCAAAAGAUUUGGCCAGAGAAGAUGCGAAUUAUGCAGCAGUACUGGAAUUAUGUGCAACAAACAGGAGACAGUGGAAGAAAAUGAAAGAGAACACAGAAUGUGUGUAUUCUAUAGUUAGAGCUGAUUCACGAAAACACAGCAGCUCUAAUUAGAUUCUCAUAGUUUUAAUGAUUCAGGAAAAUCGGGACCAGGAAAAGUCCAGAAGUUCUACUCUUCCUGCCUCAUGCUAAAUUCUACAAUAAUUAUGGUAGUUGUUUAUAGUUUUAGUGGUGUUUAUCUGCAUUAACCAAAUACCUUUUACAUGGGAAUAUGACAUUUUUUUUUCUUCAUGUUGGCCGCAUUUACAAAAGGGGCUUCAAACUGGACUCCCUCUUCAGAUGCCAAAUAAGCUUCCGUUUUUUUCUUUUUUUUUGUAAU